CGCUCGCCUUUCGCCUCACGACCUCACGCAGGUGCAGUACGUUCGUCCGAGCAUGCGCGCCUCGUGUGUCUCCUGGAAUCUUCUGUGCGCUGCUCAGUGCGUCACCUGCCUCAGUGUUUGUUCUGGGAGAGGAUUGAGCGUCCGGUCGGGGGUGGCCUGUAGGUCUGGGGACCCCAGUUCCCUACCCCGCGUGGUUAUGUUGCGUUCUGGUGGGGAAGCACACCACCCCCAACCGGAUGACGUUCCAGCCAGCUGAGCUACACCAGCCAGGGGCAGGAAGGUAUUCUUUCUCACAGCCUUCAAACACAGGUCCUCAGCCAGAAAGAUCCACCCAUUCUUUCCAUCAUCCCCAAGAAAGGAAGUUUCGAGAGGUUGACUGCGACAGUCCAUGAAAGACAAAAGUGCUCAGUGUUUCACCUGGAUCCACUUGCAGACCCCUUCUGACUCCACCAGGCUUCCACC